ensembl:lncRNA
GGGCACUAGCCCCUAGCACCCUGGUCAAAGUAGGGCACUAGUCCCCAGCACCCUGGUCAAAGUAGGGCACUAGCCCCCAGCACCCUGGUCAAAGUAGUGCACUAGCCCCCGGCACCCUCAUCCAAGUAGUGCACUAGCCCCCAGCACCCUCAUCAAAGUAGUGCACUAGUCCCAGCACCGUGGUCAAGGUAGUGCACCAGCACCCUGAUCAAAGUAGUGCACUAGUCCCCAGCACCCUCAUCAAAGUAGUGCACUAGCCCCCGGCACCCUCAUCAAAGUAGUGCACUAGCCCCCAGCACCCUCAUCAAAGUAGUGCACUAGCCCCCAGCACCCUGGUCAAAGUAGGGCACUAGCACCCUGGUCAAAGUAGGGCACUAGCCCCCAGCACUUUUUAGCUGCAUUUACACAGUCAGCUGAAUUCUGAUCUUUUCCCCAAUUUUUGACAAAAUAGCUAAUUGAUCAAAAGGUGCAAUUAGUGGGAAGAAUAUUAUAAUUGUGUUGGCUGUGUAAACGCAGCCAUGUUGAAUUUGGUGUUUUAGAUGCAGUCCAGUGUAUUCUAUCCAUUCACUCAGCAGGUUAACAAAUCCAACAUCUGUCUUCACUUUCACACCUUUAUACAGAUUAUUCAGGAAGUAUUCAGACCCCUUCCCCCUUCUCCACAUUUUGUUACGUUACAGACUUAUUCUAAAAUUAAUUAAAUAAUCUCAUGAAUCUCAUCAAUCUACACACACUACCCCAUAAUGACAAUGCGAAAACAGGUUUUUAGAAAUGUUUGCUAAUUUUUUAAAUAAGAAACAGAAAUACCUUAUUUACAUAAGUAUUCAGACCCUUUGCUAUGAGACCCCAAAUUGAGCUCAGGUGCAUCCUGUUUCCAUUGAUCAUCCUUGAGAUGUUUCUACAACUUGAUUGGAGUCCACCUGUGGUAAAUUCAAUUGAUUUGACAUGAUUUGGAAACCAAGCCAUGAGGUCGAAGGAAUUGUCCGUAGAACUCCAAGACAGGAUAGUAUCGAGGCAUAGAUCUGGGAAUAGGUACCAAAAUAAUUAUUCAGCAUUGAACACAGUGGCCUACUUUAUUCUAAAUGAAAGAAGUUUGUAGCCACCAAAACUCUUCCUAGAGCUUUCUGCCCAGCCAUUGGGGGAGAAGGGCCUUGGUCAAGGAGGUGACCAAGAACCUGAUGGUCAUUCUGUGGAGAUGGGAGAACCUUCCAGAAGGACAACCAUCUCUGCAGCACUCCACCAAUCAGGCCUUUAUGGUAGAGUGGCCAGACAGAAGCCACUCCUCAGUAAAAGGCACUUGACAGCCCACUUGGAGUUUGCCAAAAGGCACCUAAAGAAAUCAGAUUCUCUGGUCUGAUGAAACCAAGAUUGAACUCUUUGGCCUGAGUGCCAAGCGUCACGUCUGGAAGAAACCUGGCACCAUCCCUACGGUGAAGUAUGGUGGUGGCAGCAUCCCUACGGUGAAGCACGGUGGUGGCAGCAUCCCUAUGGUGAAGCAUGGUGGUGGCAGCAUCCCUAUGGUGAAGCAUGGUGGUGGCAGCAUCCCUAUGGUGAAGCAUGGUGGUGGCAGCAUCCCUACGGUGAAGCAUGGUGGUGGCAGCAUCCCUACAGUGAAGCAUGGUGGUGGCAGCAUCCCUACAGUGAAGCACUGUGGUGGCACCAUCCCUACGGUGAAGCAUGGUGGUGGCAGCAUCCCUACAGUGAAACACGGUGGUGGCAGCAUCAUGCUGUGGGGAUGUUUUUCAGCUUCCAGGGACUGGGAGACUAGUCAGGAUUGAGGGAAAGAUGAACGGAGCAAAGUACAGAGAGAUCCUUAAUGACAACCUGCCCCAGAGCGCUCAGGACCUCAUUCUGGAGCGAAGGUUCACCUUCCAACAGGACCACAACCCUAAGCACACAGCCAAGACAACACAAGAGUGGCUUCAGGACAAGUCUGAAUGUCCUUGACUGGCCCAUCCAGAGCCUGGAUAUGAACCUGAUCGAACAUCUCUGGAGAGACCUGAAAAUAGCUGUGCAGUGAAGCUCCCCAUCCAACCUGACAGAGCUUGAGAGGAUCUGCAGAGUAGAAUUGAAGAAACUCCCCAAAUACAUGUGUGCCAAGCUUGUAGCGUCAUACCCAAGAAGACUUGAGGCUGUAAUCACUGCCAAAGAUGCUUCAACAAAGUACUGAGUAAAGGGUCUGAAUUACUUAUGUAAAUGUGAUAUUUCAGUUUUGUAUUUCUAAUAAAUGUAUAAACAUUUCUAAAAAAACAAACAGUUUUUGCUUUGUCCUUAUGGGGUAUUGUGAUGUCAUUAUGGGGUAUUGUGUGUCGAUUGAUGGGGGGAACAAUUAAUUCCAUUUUAGUAUAAGGUAACAACAUUUUUGGGAAAAAGUCAUGGGGUCUGAAUACUUUCUUAAUGCACAUUAUGUCUUGUUGUAUGGAAGUCUAUGCAUCACAUUAAAUGUGUCAUUUAGGAGACUCUCUCUUAUCCAGAGUCACUACAGUAGUGAGUCAUUUAACAGACUCUCUUAUCCAGAGACACUACAGUAGUGAGUCAUUUAACAGACUCUUAUCCAGAGACACUACAGUAGUGAGUCAUUUAACAGACUCUCUUAUCCAGAGACACUACAGUAGUGAGUCAUUUAACAGACUCUUAUCCAGAGACACUACAGUAGUGAGUCAUUUAGCAGUCUCUCUUAUCCAGACACUACAGUAGUGAGUCAUUUAGCAGACUCUCUUAUCCAGAGUCACUACAGUAGUGAGUCAUUUAACAGACUUAUCCAGAGACACUACAGUAGUGAGUCAUUUAACAGACUCUCUUAUCCAGAGACACUACCGUAGUGAGUCAUUUAACAGACUCUUAUCCAGAGACGCUACAGUAGUGAGUCAUUUAACAGACUCUUAUCCAGAGACACUACAGUAGUGAGUCAUUUAGCAGACUCUCUUAUCCAGAGACACUACAGUAGUGAGUCAUUUAGCAGACUCUUAUCCAGAGCCACCACAGUAGUGAGUCAUUUAGCAGACUCUUAUCCAGAGACACUACAGUAGGGAGUCAUUUAGCAGACUCUCUUAUCCAGAGACACUACAGUAGGGAGUCAUUUAGCAGACUCUCUUAUCCAGAGACACUACAGUAGGGAGUCAUUUAGCAGACUCUCUUAUCCAGAGACACUACAGUAGGGAGUCAUUUAGCUGACUCUCUGAUCCAGAGACACUACAGUAGUUUUUUUUAAAUUUAUUUUAUUUCACCUUUAUUUAACCAGGUAGGCAAGUUGAGAACAAGUUCUCAUUUACAAUUGCGACCUGGCCAAGAUAAAGCAAAGCAGUUCGACACAUACAACGACACAGAGUUACACAUGGAGUAAAACAAACAUACAGUCAAUAAUACAGUAUAAACAAGUCUAUAUACGAUGUGAGCAAAUGAGGUGAGAAGGGAGGUAAAGGCAAAAAAGGCCAUGGUGGCAAAGUAAAUACAAUAUAGCAAGUAAAACACUGGAAUGGUAGUUUUGCAAUGGAAGAAUGUGCAAAGUAGAAAUAAAAAUAAUGGUAGUGAGUCAUACUGGUCCUCCAUGGGAAUCAAAUCCACAACCCUGGUGUUGCAAGCACCAUGCUCUGCCAACUGAGCCACACGGGACACUAAUUCAAUGUAAUAUAAUAUUCACAGGCUGAUUUAAAGGAAUGUUCACCAACUCUUUGAAAAUGACUAUCAAACAACAAUGGAAUAUCUAAUCUUUAAAACUGUAGUAUUUCGUUCAUUUUUGCCAUCAGAUCUAAUUAUUUACCUCAACUGACUUGAUGCUCUGCCAUUUGUUUAGGUCAACACAAAUUAUCUUUAAAAAGUAAUCAUUGGUGAUUAAGUUAUUCUGUCCCUGACCAUCAUGAUCUUAAAGUGACGCUCUCUAACCUUAAGUUAUUUAAUUCAAUAUGUCACCUCAUCAUUUUGUAGCCAUUACUUUAAUGGCUGUCUGACAAAUGUAUUGGUGAUUAGGAAACCAGUCUUUUUUUGAAAUUGGUCCGUUGCUGAUGCCCUCAAGCAGACACCAACCAUAUUUCAGUAGGCCCUAUACUAUAAUAGAAAUGUCUCCAUAAAUAGUGGAACUAGACACCAUCUAUAAAGGCUGGGAACUUAUAAGGCUUUAAUAGUUCACCAUCUAUAAAGGCUGGGAACCUAUAAGGCUUUAAUAGUUCACCAUCUAUAAAGGCUGGGAACCUAUAAGGCUUUAAUAGUUCAUCUAUGUAAGUUGACGCUCCCAUCAUCGUGGGAGAUGACAGGAUUCAAGACAGAUUUUAUACAUAACAAUAUGGCAUAACUUUGUAUGUCAUAAUAACUACAAAUCAGUGAUUUUGGGGAUAUUAUAGAUGAGAUUAAGAAAACAAGUACAGAGCAAACCCAAUGAAUAGUGUUUAUGGCAAUAUUUGGGAAUCAUUUUACUAGUAUUUUCCAAAGAUUGUAUAUUUUUGUAAACCUGGUUAAAUUGUUUGUUAUCUGGACAACAAAUUGUUUUGAGUUAUCAUUUGGCAUUUUCCACUCAUUACUGGGAUGGCACUUAGUCCCAUUAAAACCAAUGGAGCCGGUUGGUGGUACUGCGCUUACGUCAGUUUUAUAAACUGGCUGGUUUGAGCCCUGAAUGCUGAUUGGCUGACAGCUGUGGUAUAUCAGACCUUAUACCACGGGUAUGACAAAAGCAUGCCUUUUUACUGCUCUAAUUACUUUGGUAACCAGUUUAUAAUAGCAAUGAAGGUCCUCAGGGGAUUGUGGUAUAUGGCCAAUAUACCACGGCUCAGGGCUGUGUCCACCCGCGUUACGUCGUACAGCCCUUAGCCGGGGUACCGUAUACCGCAAACCUCUGAGGUGCCAAACUGUUGAAAAUGCCAGUGAAGACACAUGCCUGCUGGUCCCGCGGCCUUGUGAAUGUUAACCUAUUUAAAGGUCUUACUCAGAUCAGCUACGGAGAAUGUGUUCACGCAUGGUUCAGUGUUGCUUGCCUCGAAGCGAGCAUAGAGCACAUUUAGCUAGUCUGGUAGGAUCGCGUCACUGGGCAGCUCACCGCUGUUUCCCUUUGUAAUCCGUGAUAGUUUGUUGUGCAGGUCCUCUUUGUCGAUGAAUUUGUCUUUGUUCUGGUUGGUCAUGUUAAAGGCUUCUUUCAAAUUCUGGAUCUGUGAUUGGUCGAACAUAACGAACACGUUGGAGGUUGCCCUCUGGAGGGGGUUCUGAACACGUUGGAGGUUGCCCUCUGGAGGGGGUUCUGAACACGUUGGAGGUUGCCCUCUGGAGGGGGUUCUGAACACGUUGGAGGUUGCCCUCUGGAGGGGGUUCUGAACAUGUUGGAGGUUGCCCUCUGGAGGGGGUUCUUAGUUAUCAAAUCAAAUCAAAUUUUAUUUGUCACAUACACAUGGUUAGCAGAUAUUAAUGCGAGUGUAGCGAAAUGCUUGUGCUUCUAGUUCCGACAAUGCAGUAAUAACCAACAAGUAAUCUAACAAUUCCAAAACUACUGUCUUAUACACAGUGUAAGGGGAUAAAGAAUAUGUACAUAAGGAUAUAUGAAUGAGUGAUGGUACAGAGCAGCAUAGGCAAGAUACAGUAGCUGAUAUCGAGUACAGUAUAUACAUAUGAGAUGAGUAUGUAAACAAAGUGGCAUAGUUAAAGUGGCUAGUGAUACAUGUAUUACAUAAGGAUGCAGUCGAUG